CUGCGAACGAGUCGGGAAAGGGGCUCCAAGACGACGAGAUCCAAAGACGUGAUAUGAAGGUCGCAGAUACGUUUCUUCUCGAGGACAGGAGCAUACCUGUUAACAAUCGAACAGCUGAUCCGGGACAAAUUCCCGUCAUUCCGGGUAAAACUGAGGACGAUGCAUAUGGUGGUGUUUUGCUUGCUGAAUUGUUUAUUUUGUGACUUUUAAAAUAGGAUUAAAUUGCAUUGAAUCACGCACAUGUCCUUGCGGUAUGAUCUUGGUGCGUUGGAUCUUGUAUUAUGAUAUCGAUUAUUUCCCAUGUGUGUGUAUUCCUGUUGAAAAUGUAUCAGUUUCGAGAUUUCUUCUGAUUUAGCAUCUUUGACGCGGGUUGUUUAGAAUUGGCCGUUUCAGCUCCAGUUUGAUGCGGUGAUUACACAUCAACUGAUUACGCAUUCUCUGGAUAUAGGUUUUUCAGUGGAAACCGCACUGGAGAGGUCGGCGAGUCUCACGGAUAGCGAGAAUCAGGGUUCUUUGACAGCGCCGCUAGCCACCAGUGAGACCGAGGGAGCGACAUCCCACAAUUCCAGAACCUCGGCUGACACGACGGCUUCUCCUCGGGUAUGAUACAGGCCUAAAAGCAAGUGUUGGUUUCUAGCUGUGGCAUGUCUCACGUUCUCUUGCUUCUCGAAGAAAAAGAAAGCAAGAGGAGUGACUUUCAAGAGAGAUGUGUGAGUGGAGAGAUAUAUGCGAGGGUUAUACUAAGAUUCAUAGUAGUAGAAAGAAUAAACUUCUCUGUAGGAGCAAAGUUACCUGGUAAUAGAGCAACAUGGUCAAGAUGCACUAGGCUAACUUCUCUUGGAUAUCUUCUUCUCCGAGAACACUCCAACUUGCUUCACUGAAUCAACAAGUUGGUUGUUUGAUAGGAUUAUCAACCGUGGAAGGUGUGGUUUUCCAACUGCACAGGAGCACCCGGCGAAGAGGUUUUGGACGUUGUCUUCUUUCAUGGCCUCCAAAUUGGUCAUGGAAGGAACGCGCGAGAAAAAAACAUGGACUAAUUCUGAUGGAGCACUCUGGCCGAAGGAUUGGCUACCACGUUUGCUUGAAGGAAUUCUCAACGGGAGAAAGCUGCGAGUGGUGGGCAUUGCAUACAACGCACAAGCAAGUUCGUGGCGAACUGGUGAUUAUGGUGUGAGAGCCGAUGGACAUAAAGCUAUUGCUCAUGAUUUGUUCCAGAUUCUGGUCGUGUCUGAAAGGUAAGUAUAUUAUUAUUUUUGUCUAGCGGUGAAUGUAGACCGUUACAGUAGUCUUUGGCUAGUUAGCUUAUAUGAUUUGUUUUGCUGGGAACAACGAUGAUUAGAAAUUACGUGUAGGUGAAGGUCCAGACUUCACAUUCAUCCUUACCAGGGUUGUUGAUGGUGCCGUCUUGUUUAAUUUUGUGCAGGUGUUCCUUGGGAAGAAAUCCAUUUGUAUUAGUCAGCCAUUCUUAUGGUGGUAUUGUCAUAAAGAGCUUGGUGGCCUAUUGCAAUGACGUUUCCAAUUUACCACAUGUGAGAGAAGUGGGUUAUCUCAAAAUUGCAGCAAUCGACGCCGCAGCUAAGUUUAUGGAAGAGCUCCAGGCGUGUGUGUUCUAUGGUGUGCCACAUAGAGGAUCAAUUUUUGCCACAAUCGCCAGUUGCUUUUUCAUGUGCAUGGGAAGGACUGUUUCCAUUGACCUGAGGCCUGGCAGUCGGGAAAUCUUGCAAUUGAAUAUGGAGUAUGAAUUGGCUAUUCGCAAGCGACAUGUGAUACAAUACGCAUUUAUUGAAACCAUUCCGGUGGUAAGUCGAGGGUCUACUUUUCUCUCGGUCUAAUAGCUGGAUAUGUCCAUCUCAACUUUCAUGUCCGAUUCAUAGCCCUGUUCUAGGUUUCGAGAAGCCUUCUUCAACGUAUGAUUAAUUCACUAAUAGGUCAAACUCUUUCCAACACUGAAAAGAACUUAUAAUAUGAUCUUGUAGUACUUCACACGUACAAAUUUAUACAUCUGCAUUUCAAUAUUCCGAUAACCUAUGGAACAUCAAGCAUAAGAUCUGUGUUUUGUACUUCAAAUAGGAUUUAGUUAGCAUGGUAAAAGUUUUGAGUGUCUCAUCUGUGGAAUGUAGACUGACCAAAUAUGCUGUGCAGGUAUGGAACUGCAUGGUGGUAGAUUCUUCCUCUGCACGAGGGUUCCUUGAUGAUUUUGAAUGUGUGACUCUACCGGGCACCAGUCACAAGACUGUGUGCAAGCCUAGGACAAUUCAGUCUGUAGGGAUUGUAAAGUUUGUAGAGUUGAUCGAGAAAGUUGCUACAGUCCUGGAUAGUGCACCAUUAGUGGUGCCUAUCCCUACGAAUGAAAAUGCGUAUUCAGGUACUGCCAACUAGCGUCACAUGCUUGACAAGGCUGGCUCAUGCUAUGUGUUGGACGAUAUAUCUUCAAGAACUCUAGUCGUAGGGGAGGGAGGUGUUUAUUAUGAAUUUGUAGUAAUAAGUGCAACUAGAGGGAGUCACACAACCCUCGAAACUUCACAAUUACAUCCUCAAGAGAGUUUAGGAUUCUCAUUGCUCAGCUCCAUUUGAUUUUCUGCUUUUCACAUGUUGCAGUAACAGGAACUUAUUCUGCUUGGUUUUGUGUUUGAAAUAGGCUACUUUAUUCACGGAGGUAGUGCGGCCCAAAACUGCAAUGAAGAGACCCAAGGACGUGAUAUGAAGGUCGCAGAUACGUUUCUUCUCGAGGACAGGAGCAUACCUGUUAACAAUCGAACAGCUGAUCCGGGACAAAUUCCCGUCAUUCCGGGUAAAACUGAGGACGAUGCAUAUGGUGGUGUUUUUCUUGCUGAAUUGUUUAUUUUGUGACUUUUAAAAUAGGAUUAAAUUGCAUUGAAUCACGCACAUGUCCUUGCGGUAUGAUCUUGGUGCGUUGGAUCUUGUAUUAUGAUAUCGAUUAUUUCCCAUGUGUAUGUAUUCCUGUUGAAAAUGUAUCUGUUUCGAGAUUUCUUCUGAUUUAGCAUCUUUGACGCGGGUUGUUUAGAAUUGGCCGUUCAAGCUCCAGCUUUCCUGUAGCAUUUGUUGAAUGUUGUGGGUGAAAUACUUCAAUGCUUUUGUUUCUUCAUCGGAUUUUUGUGCUCAUGCAUGCUGAUUGGUUUGGCG
rnacentral:lncRNA from 1 species